rnacentral:rRNA from 1 species
GACGAACGCUGGCGGCGUGCCUAAUACAUGCAAGUAGAACGCACAGUUUAUACCGUAGCUUGCUACACCAUAGACUGUGAGUUGCGAACGGGUGAGUAACGCGUAGGUAACCUGCCUGGUAGCGGGGGAUAACUAUUGGAAACGAUAGCUAAUACCGCAUAAUAUUAAUUAUUGCAUGAUAAUUAAUUGAAAGGUGCAAUUGCACCACUACCAGAUGGACCUGCGUUGUAUUAGCUAGUAGGUGAGGUAACGGCUCACCUAGGCGACGAUACAUAGCCGAUCUGAGCUGUUGAUCGGCCACACUGGGACUCAGACCCGGCCCAGCAGCCUACGCGAGGCAGCAGUAGGGAAUCUUCGGAGAUGGACGAAAGUCUGAACGAGCAACGCCGCGUGAGUGAAGAAGGUGUUCGGAUCGUAAAGCUCUGUUGUAAGAGAAGAACGGGUGUGAGAGUGGAAAGUUCACACUGUGACGGUAUCUUACCAGAAAGGGACGGCUAACUACGUG